CCUACGGGGUGCAGCAGUGGGGGAUAUUGCACAAUGGGGGGAACCCUGAUGCAGCGACGCCGCGUGGGUGAAGGAGUAUUUCGGUAUGUAAAGCCCUAUCGGCAGGGAAGAAAUUGGACGGUACCUGACUAAGAAGCCCCGGCUAACUACGUGCCAGCAGCCGCGGUAAUACGUAGGGGGCAAGCGUUAUCCGGAUUCACUGGGUGUAAAGGGAGCGUAGACGGCCAUGCAAGCCAGGGGUGAAAGCCGGGGGCCCAACCCCGGGACUGCCCUUGGAACUGCAUGGCUGGAGUGCGGGAGGGGCAGGCGGAAUGCCUGGUGUAGCGGUGAAAUGCGUAGAUAUCAGGAGGAACACCGGCGGCGAAGGCGGCCUGCUGGACCGCGACUGACGUUGAGGCUCGAAAGCGUGGGGAGCGAACAGGAUUAGAUACCCGAGUAGUC
rnacentral:rRNA from 1 species